UUGUCAGGACUUGCCUGCUAUCUUUUGAAUAUUCAGCCAUCAACCUUUAUGGUGGAAUUAGCUCCACUUUAAUUUCCUGAUAACACCUAAAUUAAGGGAUGGCCGUUCACUGGGUUAUCAUGAGGAUUUAACGAGUCAAUUUGUGGGGAGAACUUAGAUGAAAGCUCAGCACAAAGUUGCCUAUCAUGGACUGGGUGUUAUCUGACGCACCAAGCUAUCAAACUGGGAGUGUGCAGUGGUCUUGCAUAGAGUAGAAGAUCAGCCUCAAGCAGGUCUAGAAAGCCCAGGAGAUGCAAUUUGGACGUACAAAGAGACACAAGGGAUGUGCGUCCAUGCAGGAAAGACCGUGUGAGGACCCAGCAAGAAGAAGGUCAUCUAUAAGCCCAGGAGAGAGGCCUCAGGAGAAACCAAACUUGCCACCACUUUUAUCUUGGACUUCUCGCCUCCAGAACUGAUAAAGUACCUACCACAGAAGUGUCCCAGAAGCACACUGAGAACGGAAAUCCUCUUAAUGAACAGUCCAUCUUAUGGUUGUUCACUUUGGAGAAGAUAUGGCCAAAUUAUGGAUCUCAACUGAUUCAUGGACAGUCUAAUGGUUUGGCCAAGUGGUCAGGAAUUUGGAAGAAAUAAGAAAGUUCGGGGAAGAGAGAAAUACACUUUGGAUUUGCCCUGCCUACCUGCAAUGCUCUGUUACCAGCACUCCAUGGGCUUCAUUUAUUGCCGUGGUAUUCUGCUCUGCAUUGUUUCUGACCAGAGACUCGUUUUACAGUGAAGUGCUGUAGCCAUCCCUUCAGCCCAUGGGAUUCACUGGUUUUACCAUAUAUGGUGUCAUCCAGAGCAGUUGGCCUUGUGAAAUAUUGGAAUGCACCACUGAAGACCCAGGAUAAUUACUACCCAAGGAAUGUACGGGAGCUGGGUAUUAUCACCUGUCUACCCAACAGGCCUCCGCUUCCCCCAGAACAGAAAUGGGUUUGCAGGGCUGGAGAUCCUAAUGAACAGAAACCUUGUACACACAGCCGAAGCCCUGGGAAUUCCUUGCUGCAGCAUGCUUGGAGGCCACUGGUGCCGCUCAUGUGGCAGGUGAGAUGUGGAAGAAGAAGCAUCUAUCAGGUAAUUGAGGCUGGAGGCAAGAUGCAGAAUUCAGAAGCUACCCCCUACCACCCCGUCUCCUGUCUUUUAAGGUGAUUUUGUUAUUUUGAAAACCAGGUGCAAGAGGGGCUUUUGCUAUGUAACAAACCACCUCCAAAUUUAGUGGCUUAAAAUAAUAUAAACAUUCAUUAAGUUUAUGAUUGUGAAGGCUGGUAGUUUGGGCUGGGGUUACUUCUCAUCUCAGCUGGGCUUAUUUAUGCAUGUGCAGUUAGCUGUUGGGUUGGCUGGGAGCUGGCUGUACUAAGGCAGCCUCAGCUGGGAUGGCAUGUCUUUGUUUAACAUGGUCUUUCAUCCUCCAACAGGUCAGCUUGCUCACAUGGCAGUUAGGCAGGACUGCGAAAGGGGGAGGGAGAGAGAGAGUGCGAGAGAGAACGAGAGAGAGCAGAAGCAUUUUUUGAGGCUGAGAGUUUGGAAACAGCACUAUGACAUGUCCAUGGCAUUCCAGCUACUGGCCAAAGCAAGUACAAGGCAAGUUCAGAUUCAAGGGAGAAAGAGAUGCUUCCUCUGCAUAGGAUGAACUAUCAAGUCAC
rnacentral:lncRNA from 10 species